UUUCAAUUUAAUAGAAUUUGGAACUAUCGUUCCUGAUAGUUGCUAUCUCCAGUGGAGUCUGCGCAUAGAGAGUGGAGAGAAGAGGAGCUCGUCCCCUUGUGAAAUCAACUGCAGAGCAAGCAGGAAGGGAUUUAGGGGAUUUUUCGAGCGAUUAUGACUGAUUCCAUAUCCCAGAGAUAGGCAUCGAUUCUGGAGUUCAAAUCUUCGAGCUUCAACGUUUUGAGGAGAAAUUUCUUCGUAACCCUCAAAUAUUCCCCCAAUCGCAGAUCAGAGCACGGUUCACUCCUUUGCCCAGUUCGUCGGCUUCUUCACCUGAGAAUCAGGUAAAUGUUCUCUAUUAACUCCUUCGCCCAAAUCUGAUAUCUGUUAGAUAAAGUUUAUGUAAUUUUUCAAUGGGUCUAUGGUCUUGUGAAUUUUUCCUAUGCUGAAGUUUGUCAAUCAAAUGAGCUUUUCUACUGAAAUACUGACUCCGC